CAAAACCCUUUUUCUACUAAAAAUACAAAAAUUAGCCGGGCAUGGUGGUGGGUGCCUCUAAUCCCAGCUACACGGGAGGCUGAGGCAGGGGAAUGGCUAGAACCUGGGAGGCGGAGGUUGCAGUGAGCUGAGAUUGUGCCAGUGCACUCCAGCCUGGGUAACAGAGCUAGGCAUUAUCUCAAGAAAAAAAAAAAUCUCAGUCAAGGGUAAGCUGCAAAUAGGGGCGGCCUACACCUCUGCGGUCACAUUUCACCCUGACCUCUCCCAUUUCCGAGUUGCCAACAUGCUCUCUGCACUGCCACACCCAUCUUGUGGUCAGGCCUGAGGCCCUCUUAUGGGAAUGAGGGUGACAAACUCUCCCUGACAGAGAGGCAGGGACCCCAACAGGGGCACCACCCCAUGGCUUGCUCACAGAGUUAUAAAUUGUAAGUCACGGCCAGCACUGGGAAGCUGCCUCCCCUCUGGCCCUGGCCGGCACCCUUGAGCACACCGGAAGCUGCUGGCAUCUGAGCUGUCCCUUGCUGCGGAUGCGUCUGCAGACACAUGACACUUGGCUCAGAGUUCCCUGGGCCUCUGCAGACAAGAGCGGCCUGAGAUUACCAUGAGAUAGGAGGACACCUGCUCUACUCGCACUUCCAGGGAACGCAGCACGGCAAGCUCCUGUCAUUUUCCAGACUUUGAGAAAAGGAUGUUCACUUGCUUCCCAGCUUCUUGCUUCAUCAGACAAUUGACUCAGAAAGAAAAAUGCUCAUUGGAUUUCUCAC
rnacentral:lncRNA from 10 species